GGAUUAUGGCUCAGUGGCAGAGUGCUUUCUUAGCGUGCAUAAAGCACUGGGUUCGAUCCCCAGCACCA
rnacentral:tRNA from 1 species